UCUGGUGAUCAUAGGUAAGGUGAAACACACGUUCCCAUCCCGAACACGCUCGUUAAGCCCUUAAUCGCCGAUGGUAGUGCAGCCACGCUGCUGUGCGAGAGUAGGUCGUCGCCAGUC
rnacentral:rRNA from 1 species